CUCUUCCCCCUCGGGGCCUAGAGGAGGCCACGCGCGGGGUCUCCGAGCUCUAGGGUCCGGAGCUCUAGGGUCCUUUUAUGUAGCAAAGUCAGGCCUGGGAACAGAACUUCAUGUGCUUGUAAAAAGUCUCAGGUGCGUCCUCGUUGUUUUAGAGACUUGGAGAGGAAUGGGGGCGGGGGGAACAAAAUCCGAGGACAGUCGAGCCAAGAAAAGUCGGGGCUUCUAGGAUGCCAACCACGCCAAACAGAUCAAAACCAGGACUGGAGGACUGAAGAUGAAGCCGGCAAAAAGUCACCAGCCACGGCUCUUGUAAGGUAUGCUUCACCUCUCCUGCUAAGUCUUCAUCCCUGUCUAUGAGGACAAAGAAGUUACGGGUUAAAUUGGCGAUGGGCCAGGCGCUCCUUGAGGAUGCUCUAAAGUUGGUGAUAGAAAAUGGGAGAACUGAAGACAACCACUUUAUAAAACCCUUGCCUGCUUGAAUUUGUGGUGAUGAACCGGCCCCUGGGAUUUGCUGCUCAGAACCUGAGUUCACUGAGACAUCAGGAGCAAGCACUGGAGGCCGGGUGCUGCUGGAUCCUGAUGGGAGCCAUGCAGGACUUGACCAUGGCCUGCACACACUUCUUCCCAGGAGAAGGGGAAUGAGGAAGGACUGGCCCCUGGGAUUUGCUGCUCAGUUCACUGAGACAUCAGGAGCAAGCACUGGAGGCCGGUGCUGCUGGACCCAGAUGGGAGCCAUGCAGGACUUGACCAUGGCCUGCAUACACUUCUUCCCAGGAGAAGGGGAAUGAGGAAGAACUGGACGAUGAAUUUUAACCUCCACACCACAAGCACUGGGGUAGAAGACUGCUGCUGGGUGAAGAAGAGACUAGACUUGAUCAUUGAGCAGCCACUCACUGAUAUCUUCAGUGCUGCAUGAGGAAGAGUUUAUUCUUCUGGAUUUGGUGGUGGAUUCUGGUGAAGAUACAGAUGGAUGCUCUGGCUGAGUCGCUACCUUGAAAUGAAAAUGGGAGGUAAACUCUCCCAUAGAUGAAUCUUCCUCAUUUUGAAGAACCGGCCCCUGGGAUUUGCUGCUCAGAACCUGAGUUCACUGAGACAUCAGGAGCAAGCACUGGAGGUCGGGUGCUGCUGGACCCAGAACCGGCCCCUGGGAUUUGCUGCUCAGAACCUGAGUUCACUGAGACAUCAGGAGCAAGCACUGGAGGCCAGGUGCUGCUGGACCCAGAUGGGAGCCAUGCAGGACUUGACCAUGGCCUGCACACACUUCUUCCCAGGAGAAGGGGAAUGAGGAAGGACUGGCCCCUGGGAUUUGCUGCUCAGGACCUGAGUUCACUGAGACAUCAGGAGCAAGCACUGGAGGCUGGGUGCUGCUGGACCCAGAUGGGAGCCAUGCAGGACUUGACCAUGGCCUGCACACACUUCUUCCCAGGAGAAGGGGAAUGAGGAAGAACUGGCCCCUGGGAUUUGCUGCUCAGAACCUGAGUUCACUGAGACAUCAGGAGCAAGCACUGGAGGCCGGGUGCUGCUGGACCCAGAUGGGAGCCAUGCAGGACUUGACCAUGGCCUGCACACACUUCUUCCCAGGAGAAGGGGAAUGAGGAAGAACUAGAUCCUAAGAGCAGAAGACAAUCAUAUGUCCUGAGAACCCAUUGGAGGUUGAACAGCGCUGGGUGGAUGGAGAAAGGCAGAAAUGCAGAAUUUCGUCAUUGCCUGGAUGCUGACUUUAUCCAAAGAGAAGAUGCAUGAGGAGUGUACAUGCCUCAGAACUGGAUGCUGAGACAUGCCCCCGCGAUCCCAAGACCACCAGGUACCGUGAGCAAUCACUGGAGCUGGAACACUGCUGCCUGAGGAAGAGAAGAAGUGCAGGCUUGUCAUUGUCUAUGCUGUUACUUGUGGUUCCCGGGUCUUCAGAGAGGAUGCACAAGAACGGGAGAACCGGCCCCUGGGAUUUGCUGCUCAGGACCCGAGUUCACUGAGACAUCAGGAGCAAGCACUGGAGGCCGGUGCUGCUGGAUCCAGAUGGGAGCCAUGCAGGACUUGACCAUGGCCUGCACACACUUCUUCCCAGGAGAAGGGGAAUGAGGAAGGCAGACUGGCAUCACAGGACCCUUCAGAGUAUUAAUGCAGACCUUCGUGACAGAGGUCCAGUACCAAGUGCUCAGCGGUGCUAAGGUCCAGGGACAGGAGGCAGAAGGGCGGGUUCCAGCCCGCUCAGCUGGCCAUGGUAAAAUACUAGCUGGUGUCCUAGGGCAGCAAGGCGCCUCCCUCUCCAGGUUAUGAAAACAUUGCAGUCUGAGUUUCUGUUGGGACCUGAGAAGAAGUCAAGGAAGCCCUGCAAGGCACUCACAGCUGCUCCUGCUGUCUGUAAUCGGCCGCCAUCUUCCUUCAUUCUCUGGUGACUGAGGUCCAGGAACAGGAAGCAGAGGGGCAGGUUCCACCCCGCUCAGCUGGCCAUGAACCGGCCCCUGGGAUUUGCUGCUCAGGACCCGAGUUCAGUGAGACAUCAGGAGCAAGCACUGGAGGCCGGUGCUGCUGGACCCAGAUGGGAGCCAUGCAGGACUUGACCAUGGCCUGCACACACUUCUUCCCAGGAGAAGGGGAAUGAGGAAGAACUGGACCAGAAGAUUUAACUUCCAUACCACAAGCACUGGGGUAGAAGACUGCUGCUGGGUGAAGAAGAGACUAGACUUGAUCAUUGAGCAGCCACUCACUGAUAUCUUCAGUGCUGCAUGAGGAAGGACUGGCCCCUGGGAUUUUCUGCUCAGGACCCGAGUUCACUGAGACAUCAGGAGCAAGCACUGGAGGCCGGUGCUGCUGGACCCAGAUGGGCGCCAUGCAGGACUUGACCAUGGCCUGCACACACUUCUUCCCAGGAGAAGGGGAAUGAGGAAAGUGGGGGGCCUCAAAGCUUCCUUUCCUUUCUGUUUGUCUUGCUAUGUUUUUAUAUUCCUUUUUAUCCAUUUAAUUAUUUAGUACAAAAUCAGGUCCAGUCUCCUUAGAUAUGGCAUUGAUAUAAAGUGUAAAAUGGAAGCUAAAUUCUAGGAGUACAGCAUUGCAUGCUUCUGACAGAGACAAGGAAGGCUAGAAUCACACAGUUAGUGGACACUGCAACUAUAUUGACAUUUUUUUUUUUUUAGACUGUGAAGGUGGGGACAGAUUGCUGCACUCAGAACACCUUCCCUGCUCUGGGGAAACAAACACUGUCAUCAUGGGGAAAAUGUUUCCUGUAGACCCACACAAGCACACACCCCUCCUCCUACAUCCAGCUUCUCCUCAGCCAUUUUGAAGCAGGGAAGAUCAGGGGGAUUCAUGAAUGGCGAAAUUUGGCCUUUUUUAGUGUAUUUCUCUCCUUCUGUAGGCAGACUGGCAUCACCUGACCCUUCAGAGUAUUAACUCAGACCCUGGUGACUGAGGUCCAGUACCAAGUGCUCAGCUGGGCUGCGGUGCAGGGACAGGAAGCAGAAGGGCAGAUUCAACCCCCCUCAGCUGGCCAUGCUAAUCUACUAGCUGGUGUCCUAGGGCAGCAAGGCGCCUCCCUCUCCAGGAUCUGAUGAGAAAACACUGCAGUUCCAGUUUCUUUCGGGGCUUGAAGAGAAGUCAAGGAAGCCCUGCAAGGCACUCACAGCUGAUCAUGCUUUCUGUAAUCGCCCUCCAUCUUCCUUCAUUGCUAGGAAUCAUUGGAAGGACAACAGCGGAGCUGUGAGUUUUGAAACCGCGUCCUCAUGGGGGCAGUAGAGGUCCACACAAGAGCUUAACUGGCCCCUGGGAUUUGCUGCUCAGAACCUGAGUUCACUGAGACAUCAGGAGCAAGUACUGGAGGCCGGUGCUGCUGGACCCAGAUGGGAGCCAUGCGGGACUUGACCAUGGCCUGCACACACUUCUUCCCAGGAGAAGGGGAGUGAGGAAGAACCGGCCCCUGGGAUUUGCUGCUCAGGACCCGAGUUCACUGAGACAUCAGGAGCAAGCACUGGAGGCCGGGUGCUGCUGGACCCAGAUGGGAGCCAUGCAGGACUUGACCAUGGCCUGCACACACUUCUUCCCAGGAGAAGGGGAAUGAGGAAGAAAGGCUCAUGGCGUCUAUGUCGUAAAUGAGCUGUGGAUUUGCUAUGCCCCUUCUCUUCAGCAACCCUUAUUUUUCUUGCCUGUACAUCUCUACUGUGGGAAUCACAGGGAAGCUGCUGCAGCACAACUUGAAAUAGAAAGCUGGAUGGUAUGAAUUUAGGACAAGAACAUGAGAAGAAGGGCUCCAGAGAGGAUUCAUUAAGAGCAUUUUCUGCUCUUCCAGAAGCAUCCGAGUUUGGUGUGGGCACCCAAGUCAUUAGGCUCAGAGCUGCUUGGCACCAGGAGAUGUCAGGAAGCUGGUAUAAAUCCUCAUGGGACUUGAAGGGCGAGUGGCCUGAAGUGGGUCACAAGUGAUCAGGGAUUCUCAAACUGCUGUUCCCAGCUUGCAUUUAAAAAUGGGAAAUAACUCAAAAGACAAUUGCAAACUCUCUGCAGUCAAGAUGGCUCCUGCUUGUAAUCUCAGUGUUCAGAAGGUCUGGAUCCCCUAGGGUUGCCACCAGGAUCACCAGAAAGUUUGUUAAAUAGAGAAGCACUUGAUAGAAGGCACCUGGAUAAGGAUGGACAGAAAUCAGAGGCCUUGGCUAUCUGGAUUCUGACUUCUUCAAAAAGAUGAGAUGAUAGAUGAGAAAAGCCCGUCCGUGGUGUUAGAGACUUUGGCCCCACACCCAUGCCGUGCAGCUCUGCCAGGGCCUACCUGCUUGACUCAACCCUUUUUGUUCCCUCACCCUCUCUGGGUAACUGAGAGAUUUAUACCUUGGCUAUCCUGGGAAUGUCUUUCUAAACUAAUAAAAUUGUUCUUGAGUUUCCUUCUGA
rnacentral:lncRNA from 1 species